rnacentral:rRNA from 1 species
GACGAACGCUGGCGGCGUGCCUAAUACAUGCAAGUCGAGCGGACUGAUUAAGAGCUUGCUCUUAUGACGGUAGCGGCGGACGGGUGAGUAACACGUGGGCAACCUGCCCUGUAGAUCGGGAUAACACCGAGAAAUCGGUGCUAAUACCGGGUAAUAUCUGAGAUCACAUGAUCUUAGGUUAAAUGAUGGCUCCGGCUAUCACUACAGGCUGGGCCCGCGGCGCAUUAGCUAGUUGGUAAGGUAAUGGCUUACCAAGGCGACGAUGCGUAGCCGACCUGAGAGGGUGACGGGCCGCAGCGGGACUGAGACACGGCCCAGACUCCUACGGGAGGCAGCAGUAGGGAAUCUUCCGCAAUGGACGAAAGUCUGAAGGAGCAACGCCGCGUGAGUGAUGAAGGGUUGCGGCUCGUAAAGCGCUGUUGUUAGGGAAGAAACAGUAACGAACGAACUAGGUCGGUACCUUGACGGUACCUAACCAGAAAGCCACGGCUAACUACGUG